rnacentral:lncRNA from 1 species
AUUAAUACAUUUUGGCCACAAUUCUCUAAAUAAUUACUUUAGUCUAGUGGUGUAAUGUAUACAUGGUAUUUCAAUGGAUGAAUCCGGAUUCGAGUAUUUUCAAAACCAUAUUUUGUUUAAAAAAGAAACCAAUUUUCUUUUUGCUUCUAGCCAUGUAAUUUUCACGACCGGUUUUGUUUCUAGCAAUUGAUUAACUAAUAUUUCUACUUAUGAAUGAGCCUUAAUUUUCUUACUUGUUUCCAG